rnacentral:rRNA from 1 species
CUCGCGAAUGCUCUAGAUUAAGUUGAUCAUGGCUCAGAUCUNGAACGCUNGCGGCAGGCCUAACACAUGCAAGUCGAACGGUAACAGGAAGCAGCUUGCUGCUUCGCUGACGAGUGGCGGACGGGUGAGUAAUGUCUGGGAAACUGCCUGAUGGAGGGGGAUAACUACUGGAAACGGGUAGCUAAUACCGCAUAACGUCGCAAGACCAAAGAGGGGGACCUUCGGGCCUCUUGCCAUCGGAUGUGCCCAGAUGGGAUUAGCUAGUAGGUGGGGUAACGGCUCACCUAGGCGGCGAUCCCUAGCUGGUCUGAGAGGAUGACCAGCCACACUGGAACUGAGACACGGUCCAGACUCCUACGGGAGGCAGCAGUGGGGAAUAUUGCACAAUGGGCGCAAGCCUGAUGCAGCCAUGCCGCGUGUAUGAAGAAGGCCUUCGGGUUGUAAAGUACUUUCAGCGGGGAGGAAGGUGUUGAGGUUAAUAACCUCAGCAAUUGACGUUACCCGCAGAAGAAGCACCGGCUAACUCCGUGCCAGCAGCCGCGGUAAUACGGAGGGUGCAAGCGUUAAUCGGAAUUACUGGGCGUAAAGCGCACGCAGGCGGUCUGUCAAGUCGGAUGU